rnacentral:rRNA from 1 species
GACGAACGCUGGCGGCGUGCUUAACACAUGCAAGUCGAACGGUAAGGCCCUUCGGGGUACACGAGUGGCGAACGGGUGAGUAACACGUGGGUGAGCUGCCCUGCACUUCGGGAUAAGCCCGGGAAACUGGGUCUAAUACCGGAUAGGACUCUGGGAUGCAUGUCCUGGGGUGGAAAGCUUCUGCGGUGUGGGAUGGGCCCGCGGCCUAUCGGCUUGUUGGUGGGGUGAUGGCCUACCAAGGCGACGGCGGGUAGCCGGCCUAAGAGGGUGACCGGCCACACUGGGACUGAGAUACGGCCCAGACUCCUACGGGAGGCAGCAGUGGAGAAUAUUGCACAAUGGGCGCAAGCCUGAUGCAGCGACGCCGCGUGAGGGAUGACGGCCUUCGGGUUGUAAACCUCUUUCAGCACCGACGAAGCGCAAGUGACGGUAGGUGCAGAAGAAGGACCGGCCAACUACGUGCCAGCCGCCGCGGUAA